AAGUCGGCAGGUCAUCCCCUUGUGCCUUUUAAACUGUUAGCUGUUCGCUGUAAAAGGGUUGGUUUCAUUGGUGUAGGUUAUGACUUCCUCGAGGAGUGCGUUAGGGGAUGGAAGUCGCAGCAGCAGGUGUCGGUAGGAAAGGUGUAAUCCACCUGUGGAGGAAGAGUUGGCAAACAGGCUUGACUGGUCAGCGUUCCUGUUCGCUGCCAGCGUUUCCUUCGGUGACUCUCUCGUCCAGUAGGUUAAGGUGUGGGCUGGCGAAAUCCUUGGAGAAACUCCUUGACGAUCAGGAGUAGGUGUGCUGAGGAGAAGGUAUAAACCAGAGAGGCCUGAGGACACUCUGAAGAUACUGAAAAGUUGCAGUCAUUUAUUUGGAAUACACGUUAUGAACCCUUUCUGGAGUAUGUCUACAAGUUCUGUGCGCAAGAGACCCGAUGCUGAAGAGAAAACUUUGAGUGGAGAGCUGCGAACCAGUCCUCUACGAGCCUCUACAAAGAAACAGUUGCCUUCUAUUCCAAAGAAUGCUGUGCCAAUAACCAAGCCUGCUUCACCUGCCAUGUCAUCCCAGUCGACAAAUGGAACACAUGCUUCUUAUGGGCCUUUUUAUUUGGAGUAUUCCCUCCUUGCAGAGUUUACCUUGGUUGUAAAGCAGAAACUGCCAGGUGUCUACGUGCAGCCAUCUUACCGAUCAGCAUUAAUGUGGUUUGGUGUAAUAUUCAUAAGACAUGGGCUCUACCAGGAUGGUGUGUUUAAAUUUACUGUCUAUAUUCCUGAUAAUUACCCAGAUGGAGACUGCCCGCGCUUGGUUUUUGAUCUGCCUGUCUUCCAUCCACUAGUAGAUCCUUUAUCUGGUGAACUGGAUGUGAAAAGAGCAUUUGCAAAAUGGAGGCGAAAUCAUAAUCACAUAUGGCAAGUAUUAAUGUAUGCUCGCAGAGUCUUCUACAAGAUUGAUACAACUACUCCUCUGAAUCCUGAGGCUGCAGUGCUGUAUGAAAAAGAUAUUCAGCUGUUCAAAAGCAAAGUGGUGGACAGUGUCAAACUAUGCAGCAGUCAUUUAUUUGAUCAGCCCAAAAUAGAGGAUCCCUAUGCAAUCAUUUUUUCUCCAUGGAAUCCAGCUAUACAUGAUGAAGCUAGAGAGAAGAUGUUGACUCAGAAGUAUAGAAAAGAAGGAAAAACCUGUGGAUCUUGGAAGAAAGCAAGCGAUUCCUUCUGCUGUUCCUGUUGUCAGUUGUGUGAUGACAUGUGCAGAAAGACUUUCUGUCCUUCCCUCUCUUCUGUACCCACCAUGGGAAAGCAAAAGGAAGCGCAAACCUUCUGGAGCAGUUGCUUAGUGCCACAGCUGUUUCUUGAAAAGCUAGUGAGUAACAGUGUUGGAGAGAGUGAGAGUGUGUGUGCGUGUACAUGCGCGCAUGUGGUUUUCCUCCUGUGCGAGCAAAGGAACGAAUAACUGGGCACAUAACACUUCUUUGCUCCAGUGCCGAUUCAGUGGUCUUUAGGAAACUACUGUCAGUGUAACAUAGGGGGUCGAAACCUAAUUUUUCAGUCUUUCAAAGCAAAGAAGGUCAUUCCUACUGUGUAUUGCCAACCACAGAAGCUGUCUGGCCCACCUCCGUCAGUGAGAGGGAAAUCCUGUGGGCCGGGGGGCUGCGAGGGCCCACUCUGGGGUGCAGUGUGUUGCCUGAGAUGGCAUGGUAAGUGUGUGCUGGCACCACCUGUGGCAUCUCCUGGGCCAGUGUGGCUGUGUGCAGCUCCGUGAGCCCCACACAGCUCUCCAGAGAGCUCCUGGCUUCAUCUCCCGGUAUGGAUGUGGUCGUUUCUCCCUGGGAUCUUUGCUGAAGAGGUUGAAGACCACGUCCAGCCCCCAUGGAAAAGGGUGAGUGAUCUUGCUGCUGAUCCCGUCCUUUGAGAGGGAGGGAGGGAGGUGGUAGUGGGGGAGUUGGUGUCUUGCUCAGCCUAUCUCCUCCUGUACCAGAAAGAAAGCUCGUAGCUAGUGCAGGACAGGGCUGUAACAGUGGCUGUAGUGUGGGACUUCAAUUGUUUUCUGCCUCGACUACUUCUGAAAUACUCGGUAGAAGCAAGGGCUGCUGAAUGCCAUCUUGUAGAAGCCAAGGCCUCGAGUGCUUGUGCACAAAGGCCGGGCUUGAAGGGAACUGUCCGAAGACGCUUUUGUUCUCAAGAGUGUGCUUAGGUUCUUGGGCAUGUUUUGCUUUUUUUCAUGCUUGCAGCUUUGCAGACCUGAAGGCAGUGCGUGUGGGGAAUGGCCUUUCUCUGCAUAGCUUGGGCAGGAGUUCAGUUGUUUUCUCACUCUGGUUUAGACCCCUCCAAUGCUUUUCGAUAUCUUUCUUAAUAUCUCUUAUUUAAUGCUGUGCCCUUGUAAUUUGUGUUGUUAGGAAGGGUAUGUGCAGGAAGUAGCUCACAUCCAGCUUGCACCUUCCCCAGCACUUUUAUGCCCAUGGAAAGGGGGUAGGCGUGUGGCACAACACAUGGAGGAACGUUUGCAGCAGCCACAGCCAAUGUCUCGUGCUUAAAUCAAACUAUUUCUGGGAGUGUGGGGUGGCUGACAACUGCUUGAUAGCUAGCUUAAUACUUGGAAGAUGUUUCUUUUGUUGCUCUCUUACCUUUUUCUUGAUUCUUAUGCAGCUGAUUUGCUACUUAAAAAAAAAAAAUCCUUUGUAGUGUUUCUGGCUGUUAUUUGCAUUCUAGGAAACAGAUUUCUGAUAAUCCUAAAUAUGCAUUUGUUCAAUUUCACUCCAUCCUCUGUGUCAUGUGUUAACAACCUUUGUUAGAAGGUUGUUAACCUUUCUAACAAAUAUAUAGUUUUAGUCCAGCAUGACCCUGCUGUUGAGCAGCCCUUUUCUGCGAGGGAAGUCUCUAGAAUGGGGUACAGCAUAGCUGAAGUGAGCUUUAACACAGUGUUGGACUUGUAAAAACUUGUGAGAAAAGCAGCCAGCUUCCUUCUAACCCAGUACAAAGGAAAAAGAGAUGGCUCCGUGUCACUUACCUCGGUCAGCUUUCUCUUCUGUGUGGCAUUAAUGCCCCUGUUAGCCUGUGUAUUUCGGGCAUCUGGUAGGUUAUGAGGAAUUGCAAGUGCCUUGGAAUUGUCAAAUGCCUGUUUGAGUUUACGAUAGAAAACAGAAAGGGAGGAACUGAUCUGAAAGCUGAGCUUGUAUUGCCUGGAAAGUGGUGCCAUGUUUUUUUCAAGGAAGGCAUGCGGGAAAAGUUUUUGAGGGCUAGUGUGCUGGCCUAGUGUGUAGCUACUAAAAUACUGUGAACAUUAAUUCUGUUGCCUCUGUUAUUUCUCUUACACUUUUCUUGGGACGGCUGAAAUUUAAAUCUGAAGCAGCAUUUAAAUUUCGCAUUAGAAAAGUUUAGUUAAAGGACUCUUAGUGCGACGCAGAAAAUGGGCCUGGCUUUGUGACGGAGCAUGCUGUACCAGCUGGGCGGGGAGGCAGAACUAGAGUGUUUAAACUGGAAUGUGAUAGUGCCUCUUUUUUUUUUUAAGAUUACUCAGAAGCCUUUGUAAUAAAUCACUGACUUGCAAGUUUCCUAAGCCACUUACGUGAAGGACUUGCGUAGAAGUUUAAUCCCUUCUAAUUUUGGGAUGCUCUUUCAUCUCAGCUGCAGCAGGGUAGAUGCAGGACUUAAUUCCUACUGCUGUACAAAGCCGAAAAGGGACCGUGUCCCCACACCUACUGAUGGUGCGGGGUGGGGGCAGAGUUCAAUAGGGAGCAAAUCCUGGGGAGUGUUACCUAAUGUCAGUUCAGAGGUGUGGCGGCGGCUGCUGCUGUUGUUUUAUUUGUCUGAUUGCCGCUGGGGUUUAGAAAACACCACAGUUAGUAAAAACAAUGACAAGGAAGAAUGACAGAAUGAAGUAAAAAUGAUGCUUAUUUGAGUAAAUUUUCUUUACCUUUGAAUGGUUAGGGACCUCUGUAGGUGUGGUGAGUAGGUUGGAUUGCUCUAAGCUAAAUCCAUGCGAAUAACAGUUUCCUGAAAAGAAAAUACUUUUUUUUUUUAUUUAAAGAAUGUGGAUUUUUGUUUUAUUUAGAAUGGAUAAUCUGAAACUUUUUCUUUAUUAGAUUGAGAAAGGGGAGAAAAGACUAACUAUAUCGUUCUGUAAUUGGAUUUGUGUGUUAAAAGCAGCUGUUCCAGGAACAAGGUAGGUGAAUGAGUACUGAAACAAUACCAUUGAAAUCAAAUCCUUUUCUCCUGAUUAUAGUCAUCUUUCCUAGUACAAGUAUAUCAUUUAAUGAAAAAGUAAAUUUAAGUUGACUAUCAUCUUUGCAAUUCUCAACUCUGUAAAAAUAUUUCUGAAAGAAAAAUAGAAGUUAUGCCAGCAGUCUUAAACAGUUAAGUUUGUAGUUGGACUAGAUGAUUGUUGUAGGUCCUUUCCAAGCCAACUAUUCUGUUCUAAGUCUUGAAAUAAAUAUUUUGAAGCUACUUGAGAAUUUUUUUUUUUAAAUAGUUUUUACAUACUAGAUUUUUUUUUUCUUUGGAACACCUCUGUUGAAGUAGCUUUUCUAGCACUUGUUUCAAAACAUAAACUACACAUUGUACCUCUUAUUAUUUACAACUGAGGGUUCCUAAACAAUUUGGUUUCAGAAAGGGAUGGGAACAACAGAAGCUGAUGAAGCUUAGUGCCAGGGCCACUAGGUAAAAAUGCAGGGGAAAAACGGUACAUACUUAGCUGUAAAAAUGCAGUAGUUGGCUGCCAGUGGCCAAAACAGUUCUUAACAACUUAACUAAGAAUUCUUAGUUAGUUCCCUAAUUGAGUUCAAACACGAGUACAUGGGCUAGUAUGUAUGAAAAUAAUUCUGCUUUCAUUAGAUUAAAAUGUGCAAUCUUGUAUUAAAGCUCCUGCAAGGCAGACAGAGUGGCUUGCUUUUGUUCUAGGCUCCUCUUCUCCUGCAUAGCCCUGCCAGCCCACCUCCUCUGCGAAGAGGAGCAGCACCAUGAGCCCCUGGCUGUGCUUGGAGAGACUCCCCAGCAAAGGCAGUCCUUGGCACUGACCCUCCGCGGGGCCAUGUUCUGGCAGAGCAACAGCAGGAAACGCGUUUAGAACAAACACGAUGACUAAACUGGGGCAAGAGUAAAGCCUUGUCCUUGUUGUGUGACUAAAACAUCUACACAAUUUCUUGACUUCAGCCUUUUUGUUAUGCAGGUGCAACAAUCCCUAUCUAGAAUGAAGAUGCUUCUCAGGGAAGAUUUCUACUUCAUUCUUGGAGACCAGAGAGGACAGGAUUCAGCCUGUUACAUGUUCACCUGGUGAGUUCUGCUGGCUACUGCUGUCACUGCUGCCAGAGCGUCGUCGUCUCCUCCUGCCUUUUAUCAGGACACUGCGAUAUACCUGCAGGGAAGAAGAGAAGCAUAACGAAGAAAGGAUGAUUAGACAUGCAGUUACAUCAUCACGAAACAAUAGUCUGUACGAUAUAUCUGCUUGUUAGAAACUGCAUUGUGGUAUCAAACUGCUUCUUACAGGGGAAAAUACAGCCUCCUAAGAGGAGUAUUAUCCCAUAGGCACCACCUUCUUAGGUUUUAAGUAAAGAUAUUUUCUGGUUUAGGUAUAGUUUAACAUAAAAGGCUUUCAGUAGUGCAGGAUUUUGGAUGCAACUGCUGUCUCUUGAGAAUGGCUCACAGACUGCACUCAUUUAAUACUAAAUGUUACUGUAAAAAGCAAUCCAUUCCUAAAAUAGAACUAAGGCAUUUAAUAAAUGGAAUACCACAUUGUUUAAUACUACCUCUACUUACAUGACUCUUGGCUUGUGGUUGUGUCCGAUAACAGCGCAUAAUAUUCUGAAAUGAUCUGUCUUCCUUAGUAACCUAAGAGGACAUGAACAGAAAAGUUAAAUAUGGGUUUUUUUGAGGAACUGCAAUGUCUGGAAUAUUAAGUCUUAAAGAAGUGUUUUGUUUGCUUUAUCUUUAUUCACACUGUACCUUAGCCAUUACAUAGAUGGCACACAUCAGCAGCUGAUCCAAAUGUCUAUCCAUCAUGAUUUCAGGGCAGUGCACCAAGGAAUACUCAAAACAUGUCCAGAUCUUCUUCCGCAGUUCAUCAGAUAUAUCGAGUUUGACACAGAGAUCUCUCAGACGAACACUAGCUAAAUGAUACACCUGUUGAAAUGGAGACUGUGCUUAGGGCCACAGCAAUACUGCUUUUCCUACCCAGCUAAGGAGUAGUUCAGGCUUGCCCACCCUGCAGAACUUGUGCAAAUGAUAAGCCAAAAGAAGAAUAACUAAAUUUAACUUUUUUCUUACAAGACACACACAUUCUCAGUACUGGUAUUGAUGCUAAGAACACAGUUUGAAGCUUAAAUUCUGAGUUGUCCUGAGCACAGGAAGGGUACUGCAUAGCCUGACAAGAAACCACUGGAUUGAAUAAACCAGAAUGGUCUGAAAGGUGAUUUCUUCCUUUUAAAGAAAGAGCCUUAAAGAAAAUGGACACCUUCAAGUACCUGCUGGCCAAGUACAUAAUCUGCUUCACAACUUGUGAUGUGAUAGCUGUGGUGAUAGUCUACUCCUUUGCUAGUAAGAAGUUGCCUGCAUAAGAAAACUACUCUUCAGGUACGUGUAUGAACAGACAAAGGGUAGAGAUUAACUUUAAAAUUGAAUAUUCGCUCAGUAGUAGUAGUAAUAAGUACCUAUUUUAAAAAUCACUGAAGACUUACCAAAAUACAAACUAAGCAAAGCACAAAUUAGACUGAAAAGUACCUUUCUAAAGAAGAGUGAAAGUGAGCCCAUCUUCCGAGGCCUGAUGGACAUGGCAGUGGUAAAUUGUUGGGUUUGUCUUUGCUCUGCAGGAGAGAUCUGCUGAACAGUUAACUGGCCUGGUAACUGCAAUGUUGCCCCAGUCAUCUGAGUGUUCAGGGUACCAGCAAGAGUCUGGGCACUGAGAGGCUGAAUGGGACCAGAAACAGCUUGAGGCUGGGUACCUACAUUUACUUGGACCGGGAAGAAAGUUAUUCCUCCAUUUUCAUUGGCAAUACCUGUAAUUUAAGAGAAAGACUCUGAAAUAAGAGCAGGUUGAUGGAGGGGAGGUUUGGUUUUUUUUAAAGAAUUCAGUAAUCAUGUUAUUAGUUGCUUAUAACUGUAACUAUGUGUUUAGUAUAUAUGAAAUUGUUUCAUCAAAAUACUUUUGGACUUUUCAUCAUAAGGAGAGAAGAAGAUAAUGAAAUUGAACUAAGUUUUUCAUACUAAUGCAACUUUCAUCCCAUGCCAGUUCAGGAAGGAAGGCUUACUGAAAUAACUAAAUUUUAUAAAAUAGAUGUUGGCAGUCAGAACAUCCUCGUGCUGUACAUGUUCGGUUUCUAAAUUCUGCUCAUCUGUUCAAACAAUUUUUCCCAGUUAUGAAUCCUUAAACAUACUUUUUCUCCACUGGUGUACUGUUCCCCCUCCCUCCCCCUUACUGUGUACUAAUACUCUGACAGGAACAAGCCUCAAUAAUUCUUUAGUGGCUUUUCUCUCACCUUGUACUGGUAUUGUCACAGUUUGCCCAUUGUUGGCUGUUACGGUGGCAGUUGCCACUGUAACCAGUGUCUGGCCGGGCACUGGAGUUACUGACAUUGCUUCAGGAUUCAUGUUCUGCACAGGCACCGUAUUUACCACGGGCUGUUGGGAAACUCUUACUGGAGUUCCACUGUCAGAGGUAUUAUCAUUAUCAACAAACAGUCUUCUCCUUGUAGGAUUGGCUGUAGGAGAACUGUAUCUGUCAUACAGGGUAGUGGGAGAGGAUGAAAGGCCUGUGAAUUAAAAACACACACACACAUAUAUAUAUAUUUAACUCUUGUUCUUCAAUCCCUUAUAACACAAAUAUGUGACAGAAGUCUAAUGAGAACCAAACUAUGUCAUGCAAAGCUCUUUGGGAAGCAUUUUUAAAAAUUCCUUAUGUCUACAUUUGUGGCUUACAGAUUGUUUUUAGAGGUGACGGUCUCAAACAAUGCUGUGUUUAGCUUAGAAAAAUAUUAAGGUAUUAUGUUUUAUUUUUCCAGAGAAAAGGUUGAGACUUGACAUAACUAAAUAUAUAGUGGAGCUUCUAUUCUAGUAUAACAAUAAAGCAAACUAUUCAAGUGCUACCUCUUAGAACAUAAGUACUGCGUGUGUAUAAAUAUUAUUUAACAUAUACAUAUGUACACAUACAUCUAUGCUGUUCAUAUACAUAACUUCCUGAAAACACCCUAUCAAAAUAAUAUUUUGUUCACACUGAAAUGAUGAAUGCAUCCUUCCCAGAUAUCUGACUUAACUAUGUGAGUUGCAAUAGAAAUACCAUUUACAAAUGUGUGUGUUUGCAGUUAACUAUACAUUGACAUUAAAGCAGCUUCCUUAUUGUACACCACUUAGACCAUGACUUUAAUUUUUAAAUCUAAGAAGUGUAAGUAAGUAUGUUAUGCUUAAAAAAAAGAAGUCUCACCUUUUCCUAAUCCUCCAGUUUCAGCACGAACCUCAUUUAUUCGUCUUGGUGUCAAUGGUGAACCUACAACACUGUUCGCAGCAGAUCUCUCAAAAUAGUGAGGUGGCAUUACCUAAAAUAUUUAUACUUUUAUUAGAGUGUCUGUAUCGCAGAUUAACUACAUAAUAAAUUUUUAAAAGCCUAACUAAAACUUUGUAGGGAUUGUACUACUCUAGAACACACAGUACUGGAAUAAUCUUUCUAUGACUACAAUUAAAAGUCUGUACUUCCCAUA